CUCCUACGGGAGGCAGCAGUAAGGAAUUUUCGGCAAUGGGGGCAACCCUGACCGAGCGACGCCGCGUGAGUGAUGAAGGUCUUCGGAUCGUAAAACUCUGUUGUAAAGGAAGAAUGUCAUAUAUAGGAAAUGAUAUAUGAGUGACGGUACUUUACUAGAAAGUCACGGCUUACUACGUGCCAGCAGCCGCGGUAAUACGUAGG
rnacentral:rRNA from 1 species